rnacentral:rRNA from 1 species
GAUGAACGCUGGCGGCGUGCCUAAUACAUGCAAGUCGAGCGAACAGACGAGGAGCUUGCUCCUCUGACGUUAGCGGCGGACGGGUGAGUAACACGUGGAUAACCUACCUAUAAGACUGGGAUAACUUCGGGAAACCGGAGCUAAUACCGGAUAAUAUAUUGAACCGCAUGGUUCAAUAGUGAAAGACGGUUUUGCUGUCACUUAUAGAUGGAUCCGCGCCGCAUUAGCUAGUUGGUAAGGUAACGGCUGACCAAGGCAACGAUGCGUAGCCGACCUGAGAGGGUGAUCGGCCACACUGGAACUGAGACACGGUCCAGACUCCUACGGGAGGCAGCAGUAGGGAAUCUUCCGCAAUGGGCGAAAGCCUGACGGAGCAACGCCGCGUGAGUGAUGAAGGUCUUCGGAUCGUAAAACUCUGUUAUUAGGGAAGAACAAAUGUGUAAGUAACUAUGCACGUCUUGACGGUACCUAAUCAGAAAGCCACGGCUAACUACGUG